rnacentral:rRNA from 1 species
CGGAUUCAGAGACUAAGCGAAAGUGAUAAGUUAGCCACCUGGGGAGUACGAACGCAAGUUUGAAACUCAAAGGAAUUGACGGGGGCCCGCACAAGCGGUGGAUUAUGUGGUUUAAUUCGAUGAUACGCGAGGAACCUUACCAAGGCUUAAAUGGGAAUUGAUCGGUUUAGAAAUAGACCUUCCUUCGGGCAAUUUUCAAGGUGCUGCAUGGUUGUCGUCAGCUCGUGCCGUGAGGUGUUAGGUUAAGUCCUGCAACGAGCGCAACCCCUGUUACUAGUUGCUACCAUUAAGUUGAGGACUCUAGUAAGACUGCCUACGCAAGUAGAGAGGAAGGUGGGGAUGACGUCAAAUCAUCACGGCCCUUACGCCUUGGGCCACACACGUAAUACAAUGGCCGGUACAGAGGGCAGCUACACAGCGAUGUGAUGCAAAUCUCGAAAGCCGGUCUCAGUUCGGAUUGGAGUCUGCAACUCGACUCUAUGAAGCUGGAAUCGCUAGUAAUCGCGCAUCAGCCAUGGCGCGGUGAAUACG